UCCAGAUCCAUGGCGCCCAACACCUUGAGCGCCCCUGCCGCUGCUCCUCCACCGGGAUCUCCUCCUCCACUAGGCGUCCAGGCUUGUCCCACCAUGGCUGCCCCUCCUCCAUCUCCUCCCUCCCCACCAGGUUACCCAGAUUCCAUGGCCGCCGCCGCCCCAGCCAUCUCCCUGGUGGCCGACCUCGCCCCUGCCCCAGCCACAGCUCCCCCUUCGGCCCUGCUGCUGCAAGCACUCAGCCCCUCCCAUGGCACACGCCCCAUCUGCAACACCGUCGACCCCCGACGAGGUCCUGUUCUCGCCCUGUCGUUU
rnacentral:misc_RNA from 1 species